ensembl:lncRNA
CCUGCUUCUGUGCCGCACACACUCUCCUCCCUGGUGUUUGUGCCCCAGGGCAGGAGCGGGGCAGUCCUGUAGGUCUCCAUCUGCCCAUUAGCCAAAUCUCAUUAGAUCUGUUAGUUGGAGGAAGACUGUGGCAAAUUAGUGAAAACCAAAUAGUUUCACAAAAAAAUAUUUAUUUAAGAAAAAGCAGUUUACUAUUUCAGGUAUCGUAGAAGCAGGUAAAAGAAUGUUUUAAGAAAAUUAAUGUGAUUUCAAAAGGAACAGUAGGUGAUACUCGGAGUGUCUCUUAUUGGCACGUUGGUGUCAAUACUUCUACAGUUGACUCUCCCAGAAUGAUGACACAUGUGCUUUGCUUUUCCUGGGAAAAUCCAAGUAAAAGUCCACCUGCCAUGCUGGGUGGGUCCUCUCUUAUCAGGCGCUUCACGGCCUCACUGGCUGCAGGAUGAAACCAUGUCCCCCUGGUCUGUGCUCUCCUCUCACUCCAUCCACAGUGACACUGAAUACAACUCGUGCCCCAUGGAAAACUUCUACUCAUCCUUCAGGGCCCAGAUCACAGCACCUCCUCCAGGAAGAUGUUGCUCCUCUGGGGUCCGUCUCCUCUCCAGUCUGCAAUCUUCACCGGGGUCGACGCGUCCUUCAUCUCUUUCCUCUGCUUCUCGCACAUUCCUGGCACAUGUUAGGCUGAUUUCCCAGGAGUGGAAGAGGGUGGAUGAAUGACACGAGAGAGCCAAUUUCCUGCUCAUAAAGGCAGCGCGUGUUCACUGGGAAGGAGAGACACUGAGACCAGCGGAAAAGGAGAGAGAGGCAAGCAGCUCCAUUCGUGUUACAGAAAUUUUCAUCAAAACCGGGGUUGUCCACUCUUGCAGCCAAUUUUUCAAAAGAAUUGCAAGAAACUCGCAUAAUGUAAAUUCACCCUCUCAAUAAUUUCCAAGUUGUCACCAUACACACUGCCGUACAAUGAGCUUUCAAGCUAGUGUAAGCGCACCUUCUGUCAUUAACUCUUUUCUAAAGUAGAAUUUUAUAAAGUCUACCAGAGUAUUCUUUUAUACAGAUGUGUUGUAAUUUUUAGCUAAUCCCCUUUUGUUGGUUAUUAAUGUCCUGUCUAUUAAUAUUACUAAAUAAAAUCAUAAAGAAUGUCCUGGUAUAAACA